UACGCAGAAGCAAGGCUCCUUUUGAGAAGCAGAUCAGGAAAACUUACUGCAUUUCCUAACAGAAAAUGAGGAAGCCCUGGUGGUGAUGAUACUUCUGUCAGUCAUUGCUGGCUGGAUCCAGCUCUUCUACAAGCACUAAGUAGUCUGUGGCACCUGCUAGUGAAGACUUACUCUGGAGAGCUAGGAGGAAAGGAGCAUGUGUAUGUAUGUCUUCACUGGUUUUUCACCAAACUGACAUUGGCUUGGAGUUCAGAAUGAACACCUUCAUGCUGUGAAGAUAGUCUGGAAGUCCUGUCAUGUUGCAGAAUUGAAAACAACAUCCAAAGAUGCAUAACAGUAGAAUGUAGAAGAAGGAAAAGUAAAAGGCUGUAAGAUGGAUUGAUUUGCUGCCAUUGUUUUACUUUUACAUCUAUGCUGUGCAUUCAAGGAGGUUCCUUGCUGAAUGGCCAUAUCCUCAAAACAUUGUUCUUCAAGAACCUUUGAGGAUGACAGCUAUCCGUUCAGCAUUAAUGGAAGCAACAUGCGCAGAGAUGCUUUUUUUUUGCCACUCUACAGUGUCUUACAGCCACAGAGUUGAAACCUCAAUGCUUACAUUGCUGGACUUCGCUGCAGCUUCAUCAGAGUGAAGUACAAGGUUGAUUCUACUUUUGAUGGCCUGUUUAUCUCUACCUGUAUGCUCAGGGAAAGACAGUCCUGCAUCACUUCGGAUUUGUGUUUUGUCAAAAUAGAAGCCCCCCAAAACAGCAGACCUGGAAAUAAAUGUUUCUGAGGUCUUAGCAGCAACUGGAUGGUCUGACUAUUCAACAGUUGUUAUCCGUUAUUGAAGACUACUGCAUGAAGGAACGGAAAUAAAAUGCUUCAUUCUGCACCCUGGGAAAAUUUUCAAGAAAACCUAACCUACGUUAUACACUAUGAAAAUUGAAAAUGGUCAAAAGUUUAAUGUUUUGAGCUGCUGGAAUUCCACUGAAACCUAAUCUUCAAGCUUGAAGCAAAGGGCUAAAGCAGAGCUGUUAUAUUUUGUUGUUACUAGGUCAGCACACAAGGAUGCCAUCAGUACUUAGGUAGCUGAAAACUGUGCUUUGCAAGGUUACCAAAUUUGCACACGGAGCUGGUCAGAGAAACAGGAGGAUACUGUUGGGAAGCACUUCAAAUUCAGCAGUGAUAUAGUGGUGUUAUUUGCAAGGUUAAGUAGAACUAUUAUUUAGCUAUUCUCUCUGCUUCCCUCAAUCCUCAGCAAAUUAGGUACAGCAAAUUUAGAUACUAAACCAGUUUAAAUUUUUAAAAUUUCAGUAAUCAUGAAAAUUGGGAACUGUUAGAUAUAUUUUUAUCAAAUGCAUGUGUUUAUACUCAUAAAAGCCUGCCAAUUUUAUAUUUAUGUUCUUAGACAAAUAUAUGUAAUGUGUUUGCAUUGAUAUCCUUGUACAUAGGCACUUUUGGGAUCUUAUUUGUUAUCCUAGUAAUAGGUAGAGCAGAACAACUUACAAAAGUCUUGCUGAAAGAAUAAGUAAUGGCACGAUCAGACACACUGGUUAUCAUCAUGCUCUGCAGCAUUGUGACAGUGGAAGGAGCAAUGUAUAUUACAUAGAAACAUAAUCUUGCCAAAGCUGAAUUAUAUAAAAGGUUUAAAGUGAUCUAAAGAAGGAAUGAAGAGGGCUGUGCUUUCCAAAGACAUUUGUUCAACAUUUUCUGACAUCAAUUGUCAUGACAAUAGGUGGCACCCUUAUGCCAAGAAAUACCAUCUUGUUUAGUUUAGCUAUGUUUCUCUGGAUAUUUUUCUACUGCCUUUUUUUUUUCUAAUUCCUUUAAUCAAAAUUAUUGGGAUUAAAAGCAAAAGCAAGUUAUCAAAACAGAUUAUUCAGUGGGAAUAUAGGGGACAUGCCUAGAAAAUUAAAAUAUAAACUCCAUUCUGAUUACACAGUAUAGCACGUCACAACUAUCACUACCGCUCUGUUGAGGAGGAAUCUGAGAAUUUAAAGUAUGAGCAUGUACUGAGUGAUGCAUACAAACUGUGUUAGUGUAUGCUUUAUAAUUGAUUAAUUUGACUCCUUUGGGAGUACUUAAAAAAGCAAGAGAAACAAGAUGUGUCCUGUUUUAUUUUUCCUGUUACACAAACACUUGGUUGCAUGGGGAUAUCCAGAUGAUCUGAAACUUACACCUGUGCAAAAUCAGAAAGGGAAUCUCAUAAGAACGAACCUCUCUCAGUAGAGUUUUUGUCACUUUUACUUCCAAUGUGAGGCAAAACCUGGAAAAAAUGUUAACCAAACUUUGUCAAACCACAAGCAUUUUGGCUUGCGGUUUGGAUAAAGGUUCAGGUCACUUCUCACUGUACCCUGAAAAGACCUUAUUCACUGCUCCUCUGCUGAGGUUGAAAGGAGAUAGGAAAAGGCAGAAGAGAGAAGAUUAAAAAUGCCUAAAUGCAUUGCAGAAUCAUGGAAGAACACCACUUAUUAGAAAGUGUGAAAAGACAUCAGUUUUUAUUGUAUAUUUAUGGAAUUGUGUAUAAGAAAAGAAGAGUUUUGCUAAGCAAAAAAUUUAUGUUUGUUUUUUUCAUGAAAAUAGGCUUUAAAGAUCUGAUGUAAUACUGGGGACAUAAAUUGUCUCAGGCCUGCAGAUGGCCCAUAAAAUUUGCAAAGCCUUGACCAUUUAUAAGCUGGAAUUAGAUCAGAAAAAGCUUCAGGAUUCAUUGAACUUUGCUAGUCUUGGCAAUGUCUCUGUUACACUUUUGCUGGCAUUCUGUUUCAUUCUGACAUUGCAAAAGUAUCGUCUUAUGGUGGUAAUGCAAAGUUGAAGGGGAAAAAGAAUUUUGAAAGAAUCAACAGAGCUAAUGAGGUACUAUUUUAAUUUAUGAGGCAUAGUUAACACAGCUGUUCUCUUAGGUAAAAUUUUGCUGAAGUAGUUAUGAUACUAUAGGCAAAAUUAAAAUUUCCAGUGUUCCAUGAAAUGUUGCUUAUUUAAACCUCUUCCUUUCCCUUUCAUCAUCUCAUACUGUUUUUUGUAGUUUUUUUGCAAAGGAAAAAACAUUGCAAAUUGUACAUUGGCAAAUUGUAUUUGGUGCCAAAAUGGGUAUGUUGAUUUCUGCUUAACAUUGCUCAUCUGCAGCAAUGAGUCUGGUUUUGGACAGGUGGUUACAGAGCCAGUAGGACCCAGAGGCUACUGCAAGUCAGUUAAGUCUAACACAUUGUGCUUAAAGUGUCUCCAUUUAACAUCAUUUACCAAACACUUUCAUAAGCUCAUCUUGGACUGACAAAUAUCCUAUUGCCACUGUUAAGUGUUUCUUGUAACAUUGUCAUAUUUUGCAGGGUUUUUUUUUUGUUUGUUUGUUUUUUUGGGGGGAGGUUGGAAAUACGAAUACUAAACUUCAUUAUAAAUUGUUUUAGGUUUUAAAAAAAAUCUGUAAAUUCUGUUUGUUAGAGCAUAAAAACAGCUUAAGGAUCUGCGUCUUUCCAACUGUUUCAUGUGUGUGAAUGUUCUUUCUGCAGAAGAUAUGCAUAUUUCCUGAUAGAAAUACGUGUAAUAGCUUUGAUCCUUUGGUAUGAUGCAUUUUAAAUAUUCUUUUCAUUAUCAGUGAGAAAGAAAAUAGAACUAGAUGGAAGGUCUUUGUCAGUGUUGCUGAUAAUACUCUAACAUAGCUUUGCCAAGAGAAAAGAUUUAUUUAUUUAUUUAUUUUUAACAGUGCUAUUAGAGUAGGCAGAAGUCAUUUCAUUGCAAUAGUUAUUGGUAUGUGGGGGGGGUUGCCAGUCCAAACCUCUUCCAUCGAAGCUGUCAUUUGGUAGAAAUACGUUGUGCUUUUUUAAUGGGAAAGUAAUUGAAAUGGAAAAAAUCAAUUGUCUUUUCAUCUUUCAUGAACUAACUUCUGAUAAAGUUUUUGAGAGCAUAAAAUGUUACUAAUCUGCAAUUUCUGAAAAAAAAAAAAAAGAAGAAAACAUACUCUGUCUAUUGAGGGAACGGUGUGAUGGGACUGUAUGGAAGACCCCUUUCCUAUUGUAUUUUUCUUUCAUGACUAGAGUCCUAUUUAUCUGCCAGUGAUUAUUUCCCCUUGUAUUUUGCAUAUACAAAUCAUUCAUAUCAGACAUAAACUGUCAGACAUCAGUGGUAAAAACUAAGCACCAACUCUGGGCCAGACACAAAACUAAGCACCAACUUUGUCUUUAAAUAACACUUUUCCUGAAGAAACUCUUUCUUCGUACUGAUGCAUGAUGAAAAGUGCAGACUUGGAAAAGUCAGUUGCUUUUGAGGGACCUUGCUUUGUAAUGAUUCAGAUAUAGGAUGAAAUGGUAGAUUUCUGUAUAGCUGCUUCUAUGAAGCUUGUUGUACUCAAUCUCCCAAAGUACGUGGGCAUCAAAACAGUCUACUCGGGAUAAGUUGCAUAAACAAUAUUUCAUAAAUGUUUUAGAAUUUCUAAAAUCAAGAUCCUGCCUACUCUAGUGCAUUCAGUAUUAUAAUUAGAAACUAUUAUGAUAUUCAACAUUAUAACUCUAUAUAUUAUAAUUAUAUUCAGUGUUACAAUUAUUUGGUGUUAGAAAUAAGAUAGUUCUAAAUACUACUUUCAACUUUGGUCUUGAUAGGAUGAAAUUUAGGACUUUCUAGAGCAUACUGCACUCUGGCAUUGGAGCUGACAUUGUCCUCUGUCAUCUUUGUAGUUUUUCUUUAAGAUAAAUUAUUCAUAUUUUUCACAUUGCAGUCAUGUUUGUGAUUAUUAUUUUUAUUAUUUUUGAAGUAAUUUCACAGUAAUUUUUACUGGUUACUUUCAGAAAAUUGUCCUAACUUAGAGUCUGAAGUCUAGGAGUUAAAAAUACUUACAAAAGUAAAUGCCAUGGUGUAUCAAGCAUGGGAAGAGCCCUUCUUCAUAAGAAAGAAAGAGCUUAUUUACAGCUCGUUUAUACGUGUACAGUGUAU